UUAGAUGGAUUCAAAAUGUUUUAUUCAUGAGCGUACAUAUUGAUUACCAAGCGUGUGAAUGUUUGACUCAGGCGCAUCAUGGAACGCGCGCGCUCAACCACUUGACAUGCCACCUCAAUUAAUGAGGCAGAUCAAGUGGUCCACGUUUUUUAUUAUUUUCUGAUUUUCUUUUAUUCCUUUUAUUUUCACUAAUUCAUAUUAAUUUUAAUAUUGAUCCAAAAAAUAUGAGAGUUUCACCAAAAAAAAUAAAAAAAAAUUCUCUUUCAUAUUCUGAAUUAAAAUCAUUUUUUGGAUCAUUAUUAAUAUUUUUCAUGAUUUAAUUGAUUUUUCAUUUGUUUUUAAUUAU
rnacentral:lncRNA from 1 species